UACGGAGGAUCCAAGCGUUAUCCGGAAUUACUGGGCGUAAAGAGUUGCGUAGGUGGCAUGGUAAGUUGAUAGUGAAAGCGUGCGGCUCAACCGCAUACACAUUAUCAAAACUGCCAAGCUAGAGGACGAGAGAGGUUAUUGGAAUUCCUAGUGUAGGAGUGAAAUCCGUAGAUAUUAGGAGGAACACCGAUGGCGUAGGCAGAUAACUGCUCGUUCCUGACACUAAGGCACGAAAGCGUGGGAGCCAAACGGG
rnacentral:rRNA from 1 species